rnacentral:rRNA from 1 species
CGGCACGGGUGAGUAACACGUAUCCAACCUGCCGUCUACUCUUGGCCAGCCUUCUAAAAGGAAGAUUAAUCCAGGAUGGCAUCAUGAGUUCACAUGUCCGCAUGAUUAAAGGUAUUUUCCGGUAGACGAUGGGGAUGCGUUCCAUUAGAUAGUAGGCGGGGUAACGGCCCACCUAGUCAACGAUGGAUAGGGGUUCUGAGAGGAAGGUCCCCCACAUUGGAACUGAGACACGGUCCAA